AGGGCAAGACUGGUGUCAGCCGCCGCGGUAAUACCAGCUCUCCGAGUGGUAGGGAUGAUUAUUGGGCUUAAAGCGUCCGUAGCCGGCUUAGCAAGUCUCCUGUUAAAUUCAGCGACCUAAUCGUUGAGCCGCGGGAGAUACUACUAGGCUAGGAGGCGGGAGAGGUCGACGGUACUUCUGGGGUAGGGGUGAANUCNUAUAAUCCCGGGAGGACCACCAGUGGCGAAGNCUGUUGACUAGAACGCGCUCGACGNUGAGGGACGAAAGCUNGGGGAGCGAACCGGAUUAGAUACCCGGGUAGUCCCAGCCGUAAACGAUGCGGGCUAGGUGUUGGGGUGGCUACGUGCCACUUCAGUGCCGCAGGGAAGCCAUUAAGCCCGCCGCCUGGGGAGUACGGCCGCAAGGCUGAAACUUAAAGGAAUUGGCGGGGGAGCACCACAAGGCGUGAAGCUUGCGGUUCAAUUGGAGUCAACGCCGGGAACCUUACCGGGGGCGACAGCAGGAUGAUGGCCAGAUUGAAGGUCUUGCUUGACAAGCUGAGAGGAGGUGCAUGGCCGUCGCCAGUUCGUGCNGNGANGGUGUCCNNNNNNNNCNGNCAACGAUCGAGACCCGCGCUUCUAGUUGNUACUGAGGAAGUUUUCCGAGGGGCACUCUAGAGGGACUGCCGUCGACNAGACGGAUGAAGGAGCGGGCUACGGCAGGUCAGUAUGCCCCGAAUCCCCCGGGCUACACGCGAGCUGCAAUGGCAGGNACNAUGGGUUCCGACCCUGAAANGGGNAGGCAAUCUCUAAACCCUGCNUCAGNUUGGAUCGAAGGCUGGAACCCGCCUUCGUGAAAAUGGAAUGCCUAGUAAUCGCGUGUCAUCAUCGCGCGGUGAAUACGUCCCCGCUCCUUGCACACACCGCCCGUCGCUCCAUCCGAGUGGGGUUUGGGUGAGGCGUGGUCUUCUUGGCUGCGUCGAAUCUGAGUUCCGCAAGGAGGGAG
rnacentral:rRNA from 1 species